rnacentral:rRNA from 1 species
GGUUAAGUGAAUAAGGGCGCACGGUGGAUGCCUUGGCACUAGGAGCCGAUGAAGGACGGGACUAACACCGAUAUGCUUUGGGGAGCUGUAAGUAAGCUAUGAUCCAGAGAUUUCCGAAUGGGGGAACCCAAUAUCUUUUAUAGGAUAUUACUUUUCAGUGAAUACAUAGCUGAUUAGAGGUAGACGCAGAGAACUGAAACAUCUUAGUACCUGCAGGAAGAGAAAGAAAAUUCGAUUCCCUGAGUAGCGGCGAGCGAAACGGGAAGAGCCCAAACCAACAAGCUUGCUUGUUGGGGUUGUAGGACUCCAAUAUGGUAGUCUGUUAGUAUAGUUGAAGGAUUUGGAAAAUUCCGCUAAAGAGGGUGAAAGCCCCGUAGACGAAAUGCUGACAACACCUAGGAGGAUCCUGAGUACGGCGGAACACGAGAAAUUCCGUCGGAAUCCGCGGGGACCAUCCCGCAAGGCUAAAUACUCCCUAGUGACCGAUAGUGAACCAGUACCGUGAGGGAAAGGUGAAAAGCACCCCGGAAGGGGAGUGAAAUAGAUCCUGAAACCGUGUGCCUACAACAAGUCAAAGCUCGUUAAUGAGUGAUGGCGUGCCUUUUGUAGAAUGAACCGGCGAGUUACGAUUGCAUGCGAGGUUAAGUCGAAGAGACGGAGCCGCAGCGAAAGCGAGUCUGAAUAGGGCGAAUGAGUAUGUAGUCGUAGACCCGAAACCAUGUGAUCUACCCAUGUCCAGGUUGAAGGUGCGGUAAAACGCACUGGAGGACCGAACCCACGUACGUUGAAAAGUGCGGGGAUGAGGUGUGGGUAGCGGAGAAAUUCCAAACGAACUUGGAGAUAGCUGGUUCUCUCCGAAAUAGCUUUAGGGCUAGCCUCGGAAUUGAGAAUGAUGGAGGUAGAGCACUGUUUGGACUAGGGGCCCAUCUCGGGUUACCGAAUUCAGAUAAACUCCGAAUGCCAUUCAUUUAUAUCCGGGAGUCAGACUGCGAGUGAUAAGAUCCGUAGUCGAAAGGGAAACAGCCCAGACCACCAGCUAAGGUCCCAAAAUAUAUGUUAAGUGGAAAAGGAUGUGGGGUUGCACAGACAACUAGGAUGUUGGCUUAGAAGCAGCCACCAUUUAAAGAGUGCGUAAUAGCUCACUAGUCGAGUGACCCUGCGCCGAAAAUGUACCGGGGCUAAACAUAUUACCGAAGCUGUGGACUACACCAUUAGGUGUAGUGGUAGGAGAGCGUUCUAAGGGCGUUGAAGGUCGAUCGUGAGGACG